rnacentral:rRNA from 1 species
GACGAACGCUGGCGGCGUGCUUAACACAUGCCAGUCGAACGGAAAGGCCCCUUUGGGGGUACUCGAGUGGCGAACGGGUGAGUAAGACGUGAGUAAGCAGCCCUUGACUUCGGGAUAACUUCAGGAAACUGGGGCUAAUACCGGAUAGGAAUCCUUGCUGCAUGGUGGGGGGUGGAAAGAUUCGGGGGGUUGGGGGGGACUUACGGGCUAUCAGCUUGUUGGUGGGGGGGUGGCUUACCAAGGCUUUGUCGGGUAGCCGGCCGGAGAGGGCGACCGGCCACAUUGGGACUGAGAUUCGGCCCAGAAUCCUACGGGAGGCAGCAGUGGGGAAUAUUGCACAAUGGGCGGAAGCCCGAUGCAGCAACGCCGCGGGCGGGAAGACGGCCUUCGGGUUGUAAACCGCUUUCAGCAGGUGCGAAGCUUGUGGUGACGGUACCUGCAGAAGAAGCACCGGCUAACUACGUG